rnacentral:rRNA from 1 species
UACGUAGGGUGCGAGCGUUAAUCGGAAUUACUGGGCGUAAAGCGUGCGCAGGCGGUUCGCCACGUCUGCUGUGAAAGCCCCGGGCUCAACCUGGGAACUGCAUUGGAAACUAACGGGCUCGAGUGUGGCAGAGGGGGGCGGAAUUCCACGUGUAGCAGUGAAAUGCGUAGAGAUGUGGAGGAACACCGAUGGCGAAGGCAGCCCCCUGGGCUAACACUGACGCUCAGGCACGAAAGCGUGGGGAGCAAACAGG